UACGAGGGGGGCGAGCGUUGUUCGGAAUUAUUGGGCGUAAAGGGUGCGUAGGCGGUUUGGUAAGUCUUAUGUGAAAUCUACAGGCUCAACUUGUAGUCUGCAUGAGAAACUGCCGGGCUUGAGUAUGGGAGAGGUGAGUGGAAUCCCUGGUGUAGCGGUGAAAUGCGUAGAUAUCAGGAGGAACACCUGUGGCGAAAGCGGCUCACUGGACCAUAACUGACGCUGAUGCACGAAAGCUAGGGGAGCAAACAGG
rnacentral:rRNA from 1 species